rnacentral:misc_RNA from 1 species
GAUGAAGAACGUAGCGAAAUGCGAUAAGUAAUGUGAAUUGCAGAAUUCAGUGAAUCAUCGAAUCUUUGAACGCACCUUGCGCUCCUUGGUAUUCCUCGGAGCAUGCCUGUUUGAGUAUCAUGAAACUCUCAAAGAAAAUCUUUUGUUAAUUCAAUUGGUUUGCUUUGGACUUGGAGGUUUUUUUUGCAGAUUAAUUUCUGCUCCUCUUAAAUAUAUUAGCUGGAUCUCAGUAUAUGCUCGGUUCCACUCGGCGUGAUAAGUAUCACUCGCUGAGGACACUGGUAAAAAAGGUGGCCGGGAAAUACAGAUGAACCGCUUCAAACAGUCCAUUGACUUGGGCAAUAUAAGUUUUAAGAUCUGAUCUCAUAUCAGGUAGGACUACCCGCUGAACUUAAGCAUAUCAAUAAGCGGAGGA